rnacentral:rRNA from 1 species
GAUGAACGCUGACAGAAUGCUUAACACAUGCAAGUCCACUUGAAUUUGGGUUUUUAACUUAGGUUUGGGUGGCGGACGGGUGAGUAACGCGUAAAGAACUUGCCUCACAGCUAGGGACAACAUUUGGAAACGAAUGCUAAUACCUAAUAUUAUGAUAAUAGGGCAUCCUAUAAUUAUGAAAGCUAUAAGCGCUGUGAGAGAGCUUUGCGUCCCAUUAGCUAGUUGGAGAGGUAACGGCUCACCAAGGCGAUGAUGGGUAGCCGGCCUGAGAGGGUGAUCGGCCAAAAGGGGACUGAGACACGGCCCUUACUCAUACGGGAGGCAGCAGUGGGGAAUAUUGGACAAUGGACCGAGAGUCUGAUCCAGCAAUUCUGUGUGCACGAUGAAGUUUUUCGGAAUGUAAAGUGCUUUCAGUUGGGAAGAAACAAAUGACGGUACCAACAGAAGAAGUGACGGCUAAAUACGUG